ensembl:snoRNA
ACGCAUCUAUUUGACAGACCUGGAGCAGUUACUGUCUGCUGCUAAGGUUUCCACUACAGAUGCAAGAAAAAGGUGUCCUCGCGCUUGCUUUCUGUCUCAUUGUGGCAGCCAAGAUUGAAUGGGGGAAUACAGGG